rnacentral:rRNA from 1 species
GCGUUCUAAGGACAGUGAAGUCAGACCGGAAGGACUGGUGGAGUGCUUAGAAGUGAGAAUGCCGGUAUGAGUAGCGAAAGACGGGUGAGAAUCCCGUCCACCGAAUGCCUAAGGUUUCCUGAGGAAGGCUCGUCCGCUCAGGGUUAGUCAGGACCUAAGCCGAGGCCGACAGGCGUAGGCGAUGGACAACAGGUUGAUAUUCCUGUACCACCUCUUUAUCGUUUGAGCAAUGGAGGGACGCAGAAGGAUAGAAGAAGCGUGCGAUUGGUUGUGCACGUCCAAGCAGUUAGGCUGAUAAGUAGGCAAAUCCGCUUAUCGUGAAGGCUGAGCUGUGAUGGGGAAGCUCCUUAUGGAGCGAAGUCUUUGAUUCCCCGCUGCCAAGAAAAGCUUCUAGCGAGAUAAAAGGUGCCUGUACCGCAAACCGACACAGGUAGGCGAGGAGAGAAUCCUAAGGUGUGCGAGAGAACUCUGGUUAAGGAACUCGGCAAAAUGACCCCGUAACUUCGGGAGAAGGGGUGCUUUCUUAACGGAAAGCCGCAGUGAAUAGGCCCAAGCGACUGUUUAGCAAAAACACAGCUCUCUGCGAAGCCGUAAGGCGAAGUAUAGGGGGUGACACCUGCCCGGUGCUGGAAGGUUAAGGAGAGGGGUUAGCGUAAGCGAAGCUCUGAACUGAAGCCCC